CCUUUUCUUGGCUGAUCCCUUUCGCUGUAUGGCGUGCUCGUUUGGGUUGGGCAUCGGCUAAGAGUGCUCGGAGCGUAGAUUAACUCCAGUCUUCUAUCAGGUGUGUAUUUUCUCGCUACUCUAGCUGUAGGAUGGCUACUUCGGGCCGCGAUGGGCCGAAAAGGGUCAUGUGGGCCUACGGGCCUAAUUGGAUAAGUUGUUUGAUUGUCUAGUAAAUAUUGGACUAGACUAGGUGAAUCUCAUAUUCGAGGCUAGAUUUGGGCUAAAAGGGCCACAGGAGCGUGUGGGCCCAUUUGGGUCGAGAAUAGGAUUUAGGCCCAUUCGUAUUGUUAUCCCUGUUUAGAAUACUUUAGUUUACCAAAUUACUGAAAUGCCCUCAAUUUGUAAAAUUACCAAAGUUCCCUAGGUUUACAGAAUUACCAUUUUACCCUUAAUUUAUAGAAUUACCAUUUUACCCUCGAUUUAUAGAAUUACUGUUUUACCCUCGAUUUAUAGAAUUACCAUUUUACCCUCGAUUUAUAGAAUUGCCAUUUUACCCUCGAUUUACAAAAUUACCAUUUUACCCUCAGUUUACAAAAUUACCAUUUCACCCUCAGUUGUGAAAUUACUGAAAUACCCCUGUAGGAUAGAAUUACCGAAAUACCCUCAAUUUGAAAAUUAGCAAAAUACCCCUGAUUUACAGAAUUACAGAAAUACCCUUGACUUUCUAAAAAUUAUAAAAAUACCAUUGGCUUAUAAAAUUACUCAAAUACCCUUGGUUUGUAGAUUUACCAAAACACCAUUGUAGGAUGAAAUGACUAAAAUACCCCUAAUAGGUAAAACGACCGUAAAGCCCCUAUAGGGGAAAGUGACCGUAUUACCCUUGUAUGGUAAAAUGACGAAUAUGCCCUUAUGUUCCGUAUGAAUGAUGUGCUUAGGAUUUACAUAUAUUGAUAUUGGAUUAGUUAAGUUUGAGUGACAGGUGGUGGUUAUCGUAGGUGAUUGAUUAUGGAAACAUUUCAACUUCAACCCGUAACAGGUGCGUACUAACCAUCGUAAUAGCUUAGAUUAAUAUUUGCUGAGAAGUAGAAAUGCUAAAAUACCGGUAUUUUAAGAACUUGUAAUGUUGUGUUUGGGUAUAGAUGCGAUAAAUACGAUAAGAUCGGUGUUUGGAUCGAUGGAACAUGUAAGAACUCAAUUUUGUGCACGAUGGUAAGUUGGGCCUCAAUGGGCUGGAAUCGGGCCCAAUGGGCUUCGGGCUCGUUUGGGUAAAACUGAUAGAAAAUGGAAUCUGGAAAAGUUGCAUGUUAACACGGUUAGUACUGUUGUAAAAUUUAGAUUAUGUGGGCUUAAUAGGCUAAAUCGGCAUUUGUAGGGCCCAUUAGAGGUUUUGGGCCCAAAAGCCCGAGUUUGAUAAAGUGGGUUAAAGAUUAUUGUUUAAACACUCAGAAAUAUUGAUAAUUGUUGAUGAACAUGGAAACCCUGAUUUUUGGUAAAAUUACGAAAUACCCUUAUAAUAUGAAAAAUGACUGUUUUGCCCUUGUGGGCAAGUGAUUGACUUGGACUGUGUGGUUGACGGAUUUGAUUGUGAAUAUAUAUUGGUGAUAUGAAUGACUUGACUGUGAUUGUUUGAUUCAAAUAUGGUCAUGACAUUCUGCAUACAUGACAUAUUGCAUAGGAUAUGGGUUAUAUUGAUGGAGGAAGUGCUAAAAGGGCUCUGCCCCAGUUUACCGAAAAGGGCUCUGCCCCAGUUUAUCAGAAAGGGCUUUGCCCUAGUUAUUAAAAGAGGCUAGGCCUCCAGUUAUAUGAUAAAGCAGCUAUGCUGCCAGUGGAGAGUUUGGUUGGGUGGGUUGAGUUAUUCCCCACAUGGAGAGCUUGGUUGGUACGGGUGGAGAGUAGCGGAUGGUGGGUCGAGUAGUCUUCCCAAAUGGGCUCGCAUACAUUCAUUGACAUUACAUGUGAUAUUGAAAUGGGCUUGCAAACAUUCAUUGAUAUUACAUGUGAUAUUGAAAUGGGCUUGCAUACAUCCAUUGACAUUACAUGUGAUAUUGAAAUGGGCCUAAGGGCCAUACAGUUUAUAGUAAAGGCUUCGGCCCAGUGAUAUGAUUUAUGAAAAGGCUUCGGCCCAGUGAUAUGAUUUAUGGAAAGGCUUCGGCCUAGUAUAUGUCAACACUAAAUAGGGCUUUGGCCUAGAUUGUACUGAUACCGUGUUAUUUACUGUUUGUUUGUUAUUGGGGUUACACAUUGAGUUUUCGUAAACUCACCCCGUUUCUAACUGUACAGGUAAUCCCUAAGCUUAGAUGGUUUGGAGCUGCGAGGGACUCGGAGAUGGCCACACUACUGUUUCUGUUUCUUUUAAUUGCAAUAAGUAGCCGAUUUAUUUCUUCAUAAGUUUUAUCUUAUUAAUAUUAUUAUUUGGUUUUGGGUUGUAAUAAGGUCAUUUUAAUUAUUUUUCUGGGAUUAUUUUAUCUUAU
rnacentral:lncRNA from 1 species